rnacentral:tRNA from 1 species
GGGGCGGUAGCUCAGUUGGGAGAGCGCGACGUUCGCAACGUCGAGGUCCGCGGUUCGAUUCCGCGUCGCUCCACCA